UGGGGAAUAUUGCACAAUGGGCGAAAGCCUGAUGCAGCGACGCCGCGUGAGGGAUGACGGCCUUCGGGUUGUAAACCUCUUUCAGCAGGGACGAAGCGCAAGUGACGGUACCUGCAGAAGAAGCACCGGCUAACUACGUGCCAGCAGCCGCGGUAAUACGUAGGGUGCAAGCGUUGUCCGGAAUUACUGGGCGUAAAGAGUUCGUAGGCGGUUUGUCGCGUCGUUUGUGAAAACCAGCAGCUCAACUGCUGGCUUGCAGGCGAUACGGGCAGACUUGAGUACUGCAGGGGAGACUGGAAUUCCUGGUGUAGCGGUGAAAUGCGCAGAUAUCAGGAGGAACAACGGUGGCGAAGGCGGGUCUCUGGGCAGUAACUGACGCUGAGGAACGAAAGCGUGGGUAGCGAACAGG
rnacentral:rRNA from 1 species